rnacentral:rRNA from 1 species
GACGAACGCUGGCGGCGUGCUUAACACAUGCAAGUCGAACGCUGAAGCUUGGUGCUUGCACUGGGUGGAUGAGUGGCGAACGGGUGUGUAAUAAGUGAGUAACCUGCCCUUGACUCUGGGAUAAGCCUGGGAAACUGGGUCUAAUACUGGAUACGACAUGUCACCGCAUGGUGGUGUGUGGAAAGGGUUUUACUGGUUUUGGAUGGGCUCACGGCCUAUCAGCUUGUUGGUGGGGUAAUGGCUCACCAAGGCGACGACGGGUAGCCGGCCUGAGAGGGUGACCGGCCACACUGGGACUGAGACACGGCCCAGACUCCUACGGGAGGCAGCAGUGGGGAAUAUUGCACAAUGGGCGGAAGCCUGAUGCAGCGACGCCGCGUGAGGGAUGACGGCCUUCGGGUUGUAAACCUCUUUCAGCGCGGAAGAAGCGAAAGUGACGGUACGUGCAGAAGAAGCGCCGGCUAACUACGUG